AUUGAACGCUGGCGGCAGGCCUAACACAUGCAAGUCGAACGAGUGGCGGACGGGUGAGUAAUGUCUGGGAAACUGCCUGAUGGAGGGGGAUAACUACUGGAAACGGUAGCUAAUACCGCAUACCAUCAGAUGUGCCCAGAUGGGAUUAGCUUGUUGGUGGGGUAACGGCUCACCAAGGCGACGAUCCCUAGCUGGUCUGAGAGGAUGACCAGCAAAACUGGAACGGAGAAACGGUCAAGACUCCUAGGGGAGGCAGAAGUGGGGAAUAUUGCACAAUGGGGGAAAGCCGGAUGCAGCCAUGCCGCGGGUAGGAAGAAGGCCUUCGGUUUGUAAAGUACUUUCAGCGGGGAGGCGUUACCCGCAGAAGAAGCACCGGCUAACUCCGUGCCAGCAGCCGCGGUAAUAC
rnacentral:rRNA from 1 species